rnacentral:piRNA from 1 species
UGCAGAUGAGAGAAUAAUAGAAAAGGGAAA